GAUGAACGCUGGCGGCGUGCCUAAUACAUGCAAGUCGAACGCAUAGCGAAAGGUGCUUGCACCUUUCAAGUGAGUGGCGAACGGGUGAGUAACACGUGGACAACCUGCCUCAAGGCUGGGGAUAACAUUUGGAAACAGAUGCUAAUACCGAAUAAAACUUAGUGUCGCAUGACACAAAGUUAAAAGGCGCUUCGGCGUCACCUAGAGAUGGAUCCGCGGUGCAUUAGUUAGUUGGUGGGGUAAAGGCCUACCAAGACAAUGAUGCAUAGCCGAGUUGAGAGACGGAUCGGCCCCAUUGGGACUGAAACACGGCCCAAACCCCUACGGGGGGCGGCAGUAGGAAAUUUUCCACAAUGGGGGAAAGCCUGAUGGAGCAACGCCGGGGGGGGGAUGAAGGCUUUGGGGUCGUAAAGCCCUUUUGUAUGGGAAAAACAGCUAGAAUAGGAAAUGAUUUUAGUUUGGCGGUACCAAACCAGAAGGGGACGGCUAAAUACGU
rnacentral:rRNA from 1 species